UUACAUCAGCAGUCAUCUCUGUGAUAGAGUGUGGAUGAUGCCAGACUUCUGCCCAGGCGUCCCAUGGACAUCCUCCAAAACCUGGUGGCUAAUACACGGAAGCAACAGUCCCCUGUGGAAGCAUCACAUGGCCUUUGGAAUGCCCCUCCCUGCUGACAAGGGCCCAGCAGUGGAUUGCAGCCAGCCGCCUGGAAGACCAAGCGCCUGGCCAAAGGCAGUGUGCCCCAUUGUGGUUGACUCAGGCUGGUCCCCCGUGUGGACACCUGCCCUGGCAGCAUCUGAACGGUGGGGCAACCCCUCACUGCUGGCUUGAUCACAAGAACUUCUGACCUAUCAGCCUGGACUGUGGUGUAGUGGACCACAGUGGCCAUCACGGGUAACGGAGAAUCUGGGUUUGAUUCCGGAGAGGGAGCCUGAGACAUGGCUACCACUACCAAGGUGGGCAGCAGGCACGCAAAUUGCCCAAUACAGACACAUCCCUGUGAGGCAGCGACGAACCGCAACAAUCUUGCCAGGCUCUUUCUCAUCAAAGCCAGCGGGAUCUGUAAUGGAUGCUAUCCAAACCCAGUGAUGAGUACCAACUGGAGGGCAAGUCG
rnacentral:rRNA from 1 species